GACAGAGGGUGCAAACGUUGUUCGGAAUUACUGGGCGUAAAGCGCGUGUAGGCGGCAGGGCAUGUCGGAUGUGAAAUCCCGUGGCUCAACCACGGAAGUGCACCCGAAACUGCCCAGCUUGAGUCUCGGAGAGGAAGGCGGAAUGCUUGGUGUAGAGGUGAAAUUCGUAGAUACCACCCAGAACUCCGAUUGCGAAGGCAGCCUACUGGUCGUUAACCGACGCUCAGGCACGAAAGCGUGGGGAUCAAACAGG
rnacentral:rRNA from 1 species